CAGUAACAAUAACAACAGUAACAAUAAUAAUAAUGAUAAAAGUUAUACAAAUAUAAACAAUAAUAUAAAUAUAAUUUUUUAUAAAAUAAUAAAAUGUCAAGGUUUAUAUUUUGUUAUAUAUAUAUAUUUUUAUGAACAUACAUAUUAUAUUGCGUUUGUUAGUAAAUAUAAUAUUAUUAAUUAUACUAAAAAUUUAAUUCAUUACCACAUAAUAAAUAACGAAGAAGAAAGUCUUGUAAAUCAAUUAGCAUUAAGGUGUGAAAAAAAAAAAAUUGAACUUAUGGAUAAUUGGGCAGAGUUGAAAAAAUAUGUAUUCGUAUUAUAUCCUGGCUUACAAACUAAAGUUAAGUGUUUUGGAUCGGAUCAGAAUUUACAAAAAUGGAGUGGGCAUAACAAUAAUGACGAAUUCCGUUCAUAUGUUUUAAUAGUAAAUCUAACAAAAUAUAAUUUUCUUAUUAAAACAAAAGAUCAUGAAACUUUGAAAAGAGAGCAUAGUACAGGUGCUGUUAGUUACUAUAACAGGGAUUAUACUCCAACCAGUGACGGAGACAACAGUAGUAACAGUAGUAACAGUAGUAACAGUAGUAACAGUAGUAGUAACGGUAACGAUAGUAGUAAUAGAAAAAAAAAGAAGAAAAAAAAAAAAAAACAUAAUUUUGAAAAUACUUCAUCCGAUGAAUAUAAUACGAAUAUAACUAAACGGGUAGACAAAGAAGAUGUAUUUAGUUAUAGGUCCGAUUUAAAUGAAAGUGAAGAAUGUAUUUUAAGUGAAUACUCAAGAAAGUCUUUUUCUGGAGAAACUGACAUUAUGGGAAAAAGUUUUUAUAAAAAUGUAAAAGGUUUAAGAGGUAAUAAAAAAAAGAACUAUCUUAAAAAACAUAAAACACAGAUAACCUACUACGACAGCAGUAAUAGCAAGAGCAACAACAGGGACAGGGACAGGGACAGUAACAGGGACAGGGACAGGGACAGUAACAGGGACAGUAACAGGGACAGUAAGAGCAAAAAAAACAAAAGAAAUAAUAACAGUUAUAUGUGUACUUUCUUUUCAGCACUUGUAAACAAAGCAAAACUUAACGGAGAAAAAGAAAAAACAAAUUUAUUAAAAAGUAUGACCAUGCAAGAAUUAAAGAUAAAAAAUAAAAGUACAUGGGAUUUUAUUAGUUUGAAAAUUGAAGAUACAGAAAAAAAGAGUUCACAAGUGAUGAGUAUAUAUUAUCCACACAAAACGAAUGAAACAAAGAGAAAUGAAAAAAAAUCAAACGAAACAUGGAGGAAUGAUAAAGAUUACUAUUUUAAUGGAUAUAAUACGGAGUAUAUCCCAAAGGAGAAAAGAAAACAAAUUAAUGAAAAAAAAAAAUUAAAUUUCAAACGUGCUAUGGAUAUAAUAAAAAAAAAUUGUUAUUUUACGAAAAAAGAGGAUGAAACAGAAGAUGAAAUAGGAGGAAUAAAAAAAACAUAUUUCAAAAAUGAAAAUUUACAAAAAAAGUACAUUAUAUGUAAUUAUAUGAGAAUACAUAAAAAUAUGAAUAAAUAUUUUUAUAUGUAUAAAUAUAAACAAAUAAAUACGACAAAUCAUGAAUAUUAUAUUGUUGUUAAAGAAAUGCUAUUUCGUAUUAUAUCUAUAGAACAAGACAAAACCAAUUAUAUAAUCAUUAAAAAAGUUCCGUUUUAUGAUGGGUAUAACAGUUGCAGUACACUUGAUCUUAUAAAUACUAAAAUGGGGGAGGUCGCUAUAGGUAGAACCACUACAGAUAGAAC
ensembl:lncRNA